UGAGGUCAUCCCUAGCAUCGACAAUAAUAUUAUUAAGAAUAAGGAUGCAACUAAUAUUGUUGGUCCAGUUACACGAAAGCGGGCUAAACAAUUAGAGAAGGAAAUUCAUUCCCAGUGUGGUGAUCAGCUGGUUUGAUGAGAGCAUAUUAAAGUACAGAUCAUAGAGGAAUAAUGAUAGGUGAAAGCUAUCCCUAAAUAUCAAUUACUAUUUCUAUAUACAAUUAUUAUACCACACCCUACAUGCUAAUUGCAGGAAGUAGAUGUUUGGACGUACUAGAGAGAAUAAAGGGAAGAAGAACCAUUGAGCAUGGACCUUAAUUACUUUGUGAUGACAUCAGCAACAAGACUAGCGGCCAGCCCUUUACUUCUCACGUCCACAAGCAAGCAAGGAAGCACAAGAGCCAUCCAAAAUAAGAGAAGUUAGAGGAAAACUAUUCAGCUUCCAUGUAAUUAUUUUAUUGUGUGAACUGAACACAACCAUUAUCUCUAUAUGUAUCCACGCACUAGAGGGGAGGGGGGACUUUUUGGCUGCCAUUUUCAGAACACUCAUCUUUGAGAUAAUAUACGUGAGUCUUGAGAGGCUUACAAACUUGUUCUUUCGAUUCCUGAGGGAGUUGUAGAACGCCGAA